rnacentral:rRNA from 1 species
GGUUAAGUGAAUAAGGGCGCACGGUGGAUGCCUUGGCACUAGGAGCCGAUGAAGGACGGGACUAACACCGAUAUGCUUUGGGGAGCUGUAAGUAAGCUAUGAUCCAGAGAUUUCCGAAUGGGGGAACCCAAUAUCUUUUAUAGGAUAUUACUUUUCAGUGAAUACAUAGCUGAUUAGAGGUAGACGCAGAGAACUGAAACAUCUUAGUACCUGCAGGAAGAGAAAGAAAAUUCGAUUCCCUGAGUAGCGGCGAGCGAAACGGGAAGAGCCCAAACCAACAAGCUUGCUUGUUGGGGUUGUAGGACUCCAAUAUGGUAGUCUGUUAGUAUAGUUGAAGGAUUUGGAAAAUUCCGCUAAAGAGGGUGAAAGCCCCGUAGACGAAAUGCUAACAACACCUAGGAGGAUCCUGAGUACGGCGGAACACGAGAAAUUCCGUCGGAAUCCGCGGGGACCAUCCCGCAAGGCUAAAUACUCCCUAGUGACCGAUAGUGAACCAGUACCGUGAGGGAAAGGUGAAAAGCACCCCGGAAGGGGAGUGAAAUAGAUCCUGAAACCGUGUGCCUACAACAAGUCAAAGCUCGUUAAUGAGUGAUGGCGUGCCUUUUGUAGAAUGAACCGGCGAGUUACGAUUGCAUGCGAGGUUAAGUCGAAGAGACGGAGCCGCAGCGAAAGCGAGUCUGAAUAGGGCGAAUGAGUAUGUAGUCGUAGACCCGAAACCAUGUGAUCUACCCAUGUCCAGGUUGAAGGUGCGGUAAAACGCACUGGAGGACCGAACCCACGUACGUUGAAAAGUGCGGGGAUGAGGUGUGGGUAGCGGAGAAAUUCCAAACGAACUUGGAGAUAGCUGGUUCUCUCCGAAAUAGCUUUAGGGCUAGCCUCGGAAUUGAGAAUGAUGGAGGUAGAGCACUGUUUGGACUAGGGGCCCAUCUCGGGUUACCGAAUUCAGAUAAACUCCGAAUGCCAUUCAUUUAUAUCCGGGAGUCAGACUGCGAGUGAUAAGAUCCGUAGUCGAAAGGGAAACAGCCCAGACCACCAGCUAAGGUCCCAAAAUAUAUGUUAAGUGGAAAAGGAUGUGGGGUUGCACAGACAACUAGGAUGUUGGCUUAGAAGCAGCCACCAUUUAAAGAGUGCGUAAUAGCUCACUAGUCGAGUGACCCUGCGCCGAAAAUGUACCGGGGCUAAACAUAUUACCGAAGCUGUGGACUACACCAUUAGGUGUAGUGGUAGGAGAGCGUUCUAAGGGCGUUGAAGGUCGAUCGUGAGGACGGCUGGAGCGCUUAGAAGU